rnacentral:ncRNA from 1 species
GUUCAAACGAGGAAGGGCUUAUGGUGGAUACCUAGGCACCCAGAGACGAGGAAGGGUGUGGUAAGAGACGACAUGCUUUGGGGAGUUGAAACUGAGCAUAGAUGUGGAGAUUCUCGAAUAGGGUAACCUUUUUAACUGCUUCUUAAUCCAUGGGUAGGCAAGAGACAACCUGGAAAACUGAAACAUCUUAGUAGCUAGAGGAAUAGAAAGAAAAAGUGAUUCCUGUAGUAGCAGCGAGAGAAAUGGGAGCAGCCUAAACCUUGAAAAUGGGGUUUUGGAAGAGAACAAUAUAAGCUUUGUGAUGCUAGGCGAAGCGAUUGAGUCCUGCACCCUAUAUGGUGAGAGUUAAGUAGCCAAAAGAAUCAUUGAGUUAUGCUCUAAUCUGAGUAGCAUGGGGCAUGCAGAAUCCCAUGUGAAUCAACAAGGACCACAUUGCAAGGCUAAAUACUCCUGCGUGAUCGAUAGCGAAGUAGUACCGUGAGGGGAAGGUGAAAAGAACCCCCAUUGGGGAGUGAAAUAGAACAUGAAACCGUAAGCUCCCAAGUAGUGGAAGGAAAAUGAUAUCUCUGGCCAUGUGCAUGUUGAAGAAUGAGCCGACAACUAAUAGGCAGUGGCUUGGUUAAGGGAAUCCAGUGGAUCCGUAGUGAGAGCGAGUCUUCAUGGGGCAAUUGUCACUGCUUAUGGACCCAAACCUAGGUGAUCUAUCCAUGACCAGGAUGAAUCUUUGGUGAAACUAAGUGGAGGUCCGACCCGACUGAUGUUGAAAAAUCAAUGGAUGAGUCGUGGUUAGGGGUGAAAUGCCACUCGAACCCAGAGCUAGUUGGAUCUCCCAAAAAUGCAUUGAGGCGCAACAGUUGACUGGACCAUCUAGAGGUAAAUCAUUGUUUUGGUACUGGCCAUGAGAGAAGUACCAAAUCAAGGAAAACUUUGAAUACUAGAUUGCCCCAAUAAAAGGGGUAAAGGUUAGCCAGUGAGACGAUGGGGGAUAAGGUUCAUCAUUGAGAGGGAAACAACCAGAUCAUCAGCUAAGGCCCCUAAAUGACCAGUCAAUGAUGAAGGAAGUACGAGUGCAAAGACAACGAGGAGAUUUUCCUAGAAGCAACCAACCUUGAAAGAGUGCGUAAUAGAUCAUU